GCGAGUGUGGCGGAACCGGUAGACGCAGUGGACUCAAAAUCCACCGAUGGCAACAUCUUGAGAGUUCGAGUCUCUCCACUCGCACCA
rnacentral:tRNA from 1 species